rnacentral:lncRNA from 1 species
AUCCUCCAGCCCUUCGACCUAUUGAUCUGGUGAGGCAGGGAGCUGGUGGCGUGGGAGACGAGCAUGCCAGCGAUGGCUGUGAGAAGCAUCCACCACCCUCUUCAGACAAGUCGACAAACCAUGGGAAUGAUACGACGGCGGAGAAGAAAACUGCAUCUGAUUUUAAGAACCAAGCUCUGCCCCCAAAUCGUGCAACAGAAAAUGAAAACUCUACAGCUGAAGAGACAAAUACAUGUCCGAGAUUUGAGAACUGUCUUUCACUUUCAACCAAGAAGCCAGGAAAACAGGAAAAUAAGACCACGCUAGCCAGAAAGCCCCUAUUAGCCUUGAAGAAGAACCGAACACCAACUUCAGAUGAUACCACGAAGAAAGGAAGUGAUAUGCUGGAAGAGAACCUGUUUCCUUCAUCCGAUGAAUUGGUCUCAGACCAAAAGAAGCAUGCAAAAGGUAAAAAUAAGGUCUCCAAACAUACAAAGGAUAAGCUUUUGUCAUCAGGUGAUGACAUGAAGCAUAAGAGUGAUAGGACAGAGACAGAUGAGAGAGACGAGAGAAAUGUCUUGCAUAAAUCUGAGGAGGAACAAGUAUUCACACCAAGUGAUACAGGGGAUCAUGAUAAUAACUCUUCAAAUGAGAAGAAUGCUCAUAGACCUCAAACAUCCCAGUCACCUUCAUCAGAGCACGAUACCAACAUUCAAGGAGUGAAAAAUACUGGGCAGGAUUUGAAGCGUCUAACACCUUCAAGAGAUUUUGUGAAACAUGAACAUGAUAUGGCAGUAGAUGAAAACGUCACCUGCAAUAAAGGGAAACACCACUUGUCCUCAUCAAAUGAACCAAUGAAACAUGCAAAUGACAGUGCAGGGCUAAAAAACAUCAAGUCAAGCUUCAAGAAUUAUUCAAUGCCACCAAGAAAUACAUCAAGGCAAGACAAUAAGACCACUGAUGAGGAGAAUACCCCUCAUAAUUUGAAAAAUGAACCAGUGCAGCCUAAAAAGAGUUGUGAAGGAGAGAGGAAUACUUCAUGUGAUCCUAAAAAUCGAACACCAUUAUCAAAUCCACUGAUGAAGCAAGACAAGAAAUCGUCUCCUCUAGACUCACAGAAACAGGUGUCACCAGGUGACUUUGUAAAGCCUGAAACUAAGUUGUCCGAAAAAAAGACUAAACAUGCCUCUGAGAAGAUCCAGUCACCUUCUUCAAACAAAGUGCUGAAGCCUCAAGAAAGAAGCUCUUCAGGAGAGAAGAAGCAGAAGACACCAGCAGCGGCAGACACUGGGUCACCUGAAACAAAGGCUGUAAAAGAGGAUAACGAGCACCAGCGUUCUGGGAAGUACCAGCUACCUCCUUCAAGAAACUCAGCAAAGCAUGAAGAAAAUACUCCAGGAGGAGACAAGCAGCAAACAAGAUUUGAA